rnacentral:misc_RNA from 1 species
GGAAGUAAACGUCGUAACAAGGUCUCCGUUGGUGAACCAGCGGAGGGAUCAUUACCGAGUUUACAACUCCCAAACACAAUGUGAACGUUACCAAACUGUUGCCUCGGCGGGGUCACGCCCCGGGUGCGUCGCAGCCCCGGAACCAGGCGCCCGCCGGAGGAACCAACCAAACUCUUUCUGUAGUCCCCUCGCGGACGUUAUUUCUUACAGCUCUGAGCAAAAAUUCAAAAUGAAUCAAAACUUUCAACAACGGAUCUCUUGGUUCUG